rnacentral:rRNA from 1 species
UGACCUCAAAUCAGGUAGGACCACCCGCUGAACUUAAGCAUAUCAAUAAGCGGAGGAAAAGAAACUAACAAGGAUUCCCUUAGUAACUGCGAGUGAAGAGGGAAAAGCUCAAAUUUGUAAUCUGGCGGUCUUUGGCUGUCCGAGUUGUAAUCUAGAGAAGUGCUACCUGCGCUGGACCAUGUACAAGUCUCCUGGAAUGGAGCAUCAUAGAGGGUGAGAAUCCCGUCUUUGACAUGGACUGCCAGAGCUUAUAGGUGYGCUCUCGAAGAGUCGAGUUGUUUGGGAAUGCAGCUCAAAAUGGGUGGUAAAUGCCAUCUAAAGCUAAAUAUUGGCGAGAGACCGAUAGCGAACAAGUACCGUGAGGGAAAGAUGAAAAGAACUUUGGAAAGAGAGUUAAACAGUACGUGAAAUUGCUGAAAGGGAAACGCUUGAAGUCAGUCGCAUCAGUUGGAAAUCAACCUUGCUUUUGCUGGGUGUACUUUCCGUCCGAUGGGUCAGCAUCAAUUUUGAUUGCUGGAUAAAGUUCUUGGGAACGUGGCAUCUUUGGAUGUGUUAUAGCCCUUGGACAUAUACAGUGGUUGGGAUUGAGGAACUCAGCACGCCGCAAGGCUGGGGCUUUGUCCACAACACGUGCUAGGAUGCUGC